rnacentral:rRNA from 1 species
CCUACGGGGGGCUGCAGUGGGGAAUAUUGGACAAUGGGGGGAACCCUGAUCCAGCCAUGCCGCGUGUGUGAAGAAGGCCCUCGGGUUGUAAAGCACCUUCAGUGAGGAAGAACGCCUGGUGGUUAAUACCCAUCAGGAAAGACAUCACUCACAGAAGAAGCACCGGCUAACUCCGUGCCAGCAGCCGCGGUAAUACGGAGGGUGCGAGCGUUAAUCGGAAUUACUGGGCGUAAAGCGCGCGUAGGUGGCUUGAUAAGCCGGUUGUGAAAGCCCCGGGCUCAACCUGGGAACGGCAUCCGGAACUGUCAAGCUAGAGUGCAGGAGAGGAAGGUAGAAUUCCCGGUGUAGCGGUGAAAUGCGUAGAGAUCGGGAGGAAUACCAGUGGCGAAGGCGGCCUUCUGGACUGACACUGACACUGAGGUGCGAAAGCGUGGGUAGCAAACAGGAUUAGAUACCCCGGUAGUC